UCAAGCGACCAAGGGCUAAUGGUGGAUGACUUGGCACGAGAAGGCGAUGAAGGACGUGGUUAGCUGCGAUAAGCUCCGGAGAGCCGCAAACAGGCUUUGACCCGGAGAUUUCCGAAUGGGGCAACCCUCCGCCGGUCAUACGGCGGAACUCUGAUCGCAAGGUCAGAGGGCGAUACCCGGAGAACUGAAACAUCUAAGUAUCCGGAGGAGGAGAAAACGAAAGUGAUUCCCCUAGUAGCGGCGAGCGAACCGGGAAGAGCCUAAACGCGGUUUGUGUCAAGCCCGAGCGCGUUGCAAACCGCGGGUUGUGGGAUUUCAGGGGAGGGGAGUUCGGUCCCCUCGUCAAGUUAUAAACCGGAUCACUAGUCGAAGGGCCUGGAACGGCCCGCCAUAGAAGGUGACUAGUCCUGUAGGCGAAAGUGAGCCGGCUUGAUGCCUGAGACACCCGAGUACCACGGGACACGUGAAACCUUGUGGGAAUCCGGCCAGACCACUGGCCCAGGCUAAAGACUCUCUCGUGACCGAUAGUGCACUAGUACCGUGAGGGAAAGUUGAAAAGUACCCCGGUGAGGGGAGUGAAAUAGGACCUGAAACCGUUAGCCUGCAAGCUGUGGUAGCGCUAUGACGCCCGCAAGGGCGUAAAGCGUCACCGCGUACCUUUUGCAUAAUGAACCAGGGAGUGACGUGUGCGCAGCGAGGUUAAUCCCUUCUGGGGAGGAGCCGUAGCGAAAGCGAGUCCGAAUGGGGCGUUUAGUUGCGCAUAGUCGACCCGAAACUGGGUGAUCUACCCAUGGCCAGGCUGAAGCCUGAUUAAUCUCAGGUGGAGGGCCGAACCCAUUAAGGUUGAAAACUUACGGGAUGAGCUGUGGGUCGGAGUGAAAGGCUAAUCAAACCCAGAAAUAGCUGGUUCUCCCCGAAAUAACUCUAGGGUUAGCCUCAGAGAAGCUAGGAUGCGGGGGUAGAGUGCUGAAUGGACUAGGGGACCUACCAGUCUACCGAAUCCAACCAAACUCCGAAUACCGCACACCUCGACUCUGGGAGUCAGCCUACGUGGGAUAAGCUGCGUGGACGCGAGGGGAACACCCCAGACCGCCGGCUAAGGUCCCUAAAGCAGACUAAGUGAGAAAGGAUGUGUGAUGGCUUAGACAACCGGGAUGUUGGCUUAGAGGCAGCCACCAUUUAAAGAGUGCGUAACAGCUCACCGGUCGACGUCGUCACGCGCCUACAAUGAUCGGGACUAAGUCUGCUACCGAAGCCGCGGAUUUUUCGUCGCAAGACGAAGAGUGGUAGGGGAGCGUGCUGCAGUAGGAUGAAGGCGCACCGUAAGGAGCGCUGGACGAGGCAGCAGUGAGAAUCCUGGUAUGAGUAGCGAAAAUGCUGAUGAGAAAUCAGCACGCCGAAAGUCUAAGGUUUCCUGGGGAAGGUUCGUCCGCCCAGGGUUAGGCGAUCCUAAGCUGAGGCCGAAAGGCGUAGGCGAUGGACAGCCGGUUAAUAUUCCGGCCCCUCCUGGUGAUGCGCUUGAGCCAAAUCGGUGACGCAGGAGGCUAGGUCUUCCCGGGUGCUGGAUGUCCCGGGCCAACCGCGUAGCGCCGCUCAAAAGGCGGACGUAAAACGGGACGGGGAGUCGCGGGGAUACCCAAGGCGAAGAGAUUGAUGCCACGCUGCCAAGAAAUAGCCGGUUUGGCGAGGUGUUGCCGGGAGUUCGUACCGCAAUCCGACACAGGUAGACAAGCAGAAUAUGCUUAGGCGCGCGAGAUAACCCUUGCCAAGGAACUCGGCAAAAUGGCCCCGUAACUUCGGAAGAAGGGGUGGUCCGACGGGUGCAAGCCUGUUGGACUCACAGUAAAGAGAGCUAAGUGACUGUUUAGUAAAAACCCAGGUCUCUGCUAAGUCGUAAGACGACGUAUAGGGACUGAUACCUGCCCGGUGCUGGAAGGUUAAGGGGAAACGUCAAUCAUGCCGCAAGGCAAGAUGAAGCGUAGAACUGAAGCCCCAGUAAACGGCGGCCGUAACUAUAACGGUCCUAAGGUAGCGAAAUUCCUUGUCGGGUAAGUUCCGACCCGCACGAAUGGUGUAACAACUUAGCUGCUGUCUCGGCGAGGGGCUCGGCGAAACUGUAGUGGCGGUGAAGAUGCCGUCUACCCGCAAGUAGACGAAAAGACCCCAGAACCUUGACUGUACCCUGGUCUGGAAUGUUGGUCCGAUCUGCGUAGGAUAGGUGGGAGGCUUUGAAACGGUGCUCUCGGGUGCCGUGGAGCCGACGGUGAAAUACCACCCUGAUUGUAUGAACGUUCUAACCGGCCCUGUGUAGGGGUUGGGACAAGGCCAGGCGGGCAGUUUGACUGGGGCGGUUUCCUCCUAAAGGAUAACGGAGGAGCACCAAGGUCCCCUCAGCGCGGUUGGCAAUCGCGUGUCGAGUGUAAGGGCACAAGGGGGCUUGACUGCGAGUCCGACAGGACAAGCAGGGACGAAAGUCGGUCCUAAUGAUCCGGCGGUGGCUAGUGGGAGCGCCGUCGCUCAACGAAUAAUAGGUACUCUGGGGAUAACAGGCUUAUCGAGCCCGAGAGUUCACAUCGACGGCUCGGUUUGGCACCUCGAUGUCGGCUCAUCGCAUCCUGGGGGUGGAGAAGCUCCCAAGGGUCCGGCUGUUCGCCGGUUAAAGCGGUACGCGAGCUGGGUUUAGAACGUCGUGAGACAGUUCGGUCUCUAUCUCCUGCGGGCGUGAGGAAUCUUGACGGGGGUUGUCCGUAGUACGAGAGGACCCGGACAAACGGACCUCUGGUGUCCCAGUUGUGCC
rnacentral:rRNA from 1 species